ensembl:lncRNA
AUGGAUGGGGACGCGUGUGUUCGCGUGUGGACUCGACCGCUGCAAGUGAUGCUCCAGCAGAAGAAGAUCAAAGCGCGGAGGAAAAGGCGCAAGGAGUUGUUCGGGGGACAGAUGUGCUUCUUGGGGCUGCUGCUGUUGGCGGUGUCAUGCUUGUCCAGUUUGGCCGAGAAUUCCGGUUAUGGCAUCUCCAGUCUCUCAGCUGAAGAUAGUGAGAGGUGGGAGAGUCGCAGGCUGCUGCAGGAAUUUGACAUUGACAGCAACUAUACUGAUGAGGUGCAGGUUGGGCCCAAUGCUGAAAAGAACUGCACACCGCCUGGUAAGAAGUUUAGCACAACACACACAUAAAACCUCACACAACAUACCAGCUUUUUUGGUUCAAUAGCACAGAUGAAACAGGACAAUUAUUGUUGUUUGUAAGGAACUUAGCAUGACAGAUGAGUAAUGUCACAAUGGAAACAACACCUCAAUUUGAUUAUUAAGCAAGAAGUCAUGCUAUAUUUCACUUCUGAAAAUCAGUUUUUUGAGGGUAGAAUUCCAUAAUGGGAUUAUAAACUAGGUUCUAUGAACUUUAAGAUCAAGUGAUGUUUUCUAAAAUGAAAUAUCCUCAUGUGUUUUAUUUGUUCUCCUCUGGUUUAUGAGUCCACAUAGGUGUUAGUCCUGUAUCAGGACUCUCUUGUCAUCGGUAAGUCAGACACUAACUCUUUUGUUGCUUAUGAGUGAGUAAUCUCGCUGACACAGACUUUGCUAUUGUUUCUCUUGGGGAUCCCUGGCUAGAGAACAUGUGUAUUUCAAACCAUAGAGAUCCAUGAGCAGUGACCAGUUCAAAGGUUAACAGCGGAUUUCUGGUCAAGGUGAAGACCAGAUACAGUAGGUCACCUAAAGAAGACAUUAAGGCUUAUAAAAAAUAUUGGUGCUCUAAGAAAAGUCAGCAGAACACAACUCUAUCAGCUGCUAUGACUGAGUUUGAUUUUGAAUUUGGUUAAUGUCUGUACAAGAUCUCAUGGUAAACACAUUCACACCCACUUUUAAUUUCUGACAUAAUUAGUUUUAAUUGAAAUGCAGACAAUGUGACAUUUCUAAUCUGUUCCUCAUUAUUUCCUCAUUAUUAUUUGCACAGUUGGUGUAGAUCCUCUGUGUAAUUCCAUGCACUAGGCUACAUCAUGCUCCACACUCUUGGAUAUUGUAAAGAGACCAAUUAGAACAGGUCUGAGGGAGAGGCGAGGAUGAACAAAGGGGUCAUCGAUACUGUGUGGGUCUAUUGAUUGACCAUCUCCCUCUUCUUUCAAAGCUCUCCUCUUUCCCCCUGCAAUGCAUUUACUGUAGACAGGAUCUACUACAGCACACUGUUAGUAUCUGAUUCCACUUCACUGCUCAGUUUGUUUGCUGCUCAGGAACUUCAUACAUGGAACUUUUAAAUAGUGGCACCAAAAAGUAUUUGGACAAUGUUGAAAAAAAAAAUAAUGCAGUAUGUUAAUACAGUAAUGUUAUGAACAGGUUUUGAAAUAUAGGCUGCAUCCGAAAACUUAAGCAGGUGACUUGCUGCCUCGCUGCCGUAUCAGGCAAUGACUUUGCAGGCAGCGUUUUUGCACGAAGGCACCUCACGAAACUGAUUUUGGACAGGCUUCUGAGGCAGUGUAAUGGUUAAAUGAUCUACAGCUAAAUAUAGAGAGCUUUGGUGAUAACUAAGUGGUUAUUUAAUUACUGCAAUAUUAAUUUCUCGCUAGAAAUUACAUCAAAAGUGGAAAACUUUGAUCAAAAACAAACAUUUACACACAAACUGACCAACGAGCGCAACUUUCAGACGCCAUCUUUAUUUUUUGGCUUAACUGUCACGGAAUGGAACGCACAGGAUUGUGGGAUAUCAAAGGCAGCGAAGGAUACAUCUAUGCUGCCUUCAAAAAUCGGCCAGAUGAAGGCAUCUCAGGAGACAGGAAAUGAAGCUAACAUUGAAUUCGGACGUGCCUUGAUGCCUUCCUACCUUGGAAUGCGUCCUUAGAAGGCAGCAUUUUUCAGUUUUCGGAUGCAGCCAUUGUUUCAAUUUAAGUUUGUAAUAACUAUUUUCUAUUUUAAUAUAUCUUUAAAUAUAAUGAAUUCCUGUGUUGGCAAAGCUAAAUUUUUCAGCAGUCAUUGCUCCAUUCUUCAGAGUCUCACGAUCCUUCAGAAAUCAUUCUAAUAUGCUGAUUUGGUGCUCAAGAAACAUUUCUUAUUAUUAUCAAUGUUGAGAACAGUAGUCCUGCUUGAUAUUUUUUUGCAAAAAUACUUUUUUUCCAGAAUCUGUUGAUAAAUAGUAUGUUUAAAAGAACAUAAAGUCUUAAAGUCUUUGUUGAAUAAAAGUAUUAAUUUAUUUUAAAAAAUCUUGCCGACCUCAAACUUUUGAACAUUAGUGUAUAUUCAAAAUUGAGACAAUUUAGAAAAAAAAUAGAAAAGUGACAAAAAAGUAAAAGUAAAGUUAAUUGUGGAAAUUACUUUGUUGUUAUUUGUUUGGAGAAGCUACUCAGCUUGAUAUUUGGUUUCUAAUGCAGUGAAAUAAUGCAUAUAUUUUUAAAUGAGGCUUGAGUGUCCAAAUACUUUGGGGCGACUGUAUUUCAUAAAUAUUGUUAUUUUAUAUGUGUUGGCAUGACUUUAAUGUUUUAUAUGUGGUUCAAGUAAAAAAGGGGAGUGUUUUAGGCUUAAGGGGAACACUUCAUCUGCAGUGAAUACAGAGGAAUGUCAAGUCUUAUGGAUGAUGAGAUAGAACAAACUUAUGAUUUGACAUCUGUCCAGAAAUAAAACAGAGCAGGAGGUCAGUUUCCAUGGGGAGCCAUUGUAUUUGCAGUGAGCUCAGUGUGUAACGACCCGGCUCUGCUGUUAGGAGGUGUAAAGGGAGCAGCUUUGCGUCCGUAACACAGCAUGGCCUGCCUGCUUUUGUUUGUGUUUUUUUUUUUGGUGGGCGGAUUUGGGUGAAUGUUUCCAAGUGGGUUCCUGGUGUUUUAGGAGGCUGUGUUUCUUGCCAAGCAUCUCCUUGAUCUCGCCGUUAAAGAGUGAGCUGUGCUCUUAAGCUCUCGCUCGUGUCCAGAUGCCCGCUCCCCCACCCGUCUCCAACACCAGCCUGGCGCCUUGGCACAGGUUAAGGGGUUUCCUUACUCUACUGUUAAAAACUAUUCUUUCUUUAAUACAUCUAGAUGUCAACACAUUACACUAGAGAAUAAGUCUGGCUCAUAUCCUGAUAUUCAAACCUGGAUUUUCACCAUUUAUUUAACAAUUAUAUUUGGAAUUUCUAUUGAACUUUCUUUUUGAACUUUGUUCAUCAAAGAAUCCUGAUCAUGGUUUCCACCAAAUUAUUAAGAGCACAACUGUUUUCAAUAUUUAUCAUAUUAAGAAAUGUUUCUUGUGCCAAAUCAGCAUAUUAGAAUGAUUUCUGAAAGAUCAUGUGACACUGGAAACUGUAAAACUACAAAUUCAUCUUUGCCGUAACAAGAAAUAUUGUAUAAUAUAUUUUUAAUCUGAAAGCACUGUAUUUUAUUAAAUUGUAUUUUCUUUUU